AUUGAACGCUGGCGGCAGGCUUAACACAUGCAAGUCGAACGAGUGGCGGACGGGUGAGUAAUGCUUGGGAAUCUGGCUUAUGGAGGGGGAUAACGACGGGAAACUGUCGCUAAUACCGCGUACCAUAGGAUGAGCCCAGGUGGGAUUAGGUAGUUGGUGGGGUAAAGGCCUACCAAGCUGACGAUCUCUAGCUGGUCUGAGAGGAUGACCAGCCACACCGGGACUAGGGGACGGCCCAGACUCCUCCGGGAGGCAGCGGUUGGGAAUAUUGAGCAAGUGGGGCAAGCCUGACGCAGCCAUGCCGCGUGUAUGAAGAAGGCCUUCGGGAUGUAAAGUUCUUUCGGUAUUGAGGCGUUAAAUACAGAAGAAGCACCGGCUAAAUACGUGCCAGCAGCCGCGGUAAUUC
rnacentral:rRNA from 1 species